rnacentral:rRNA from 1 species
AUUGAACGCUGGCGGCAGGCCUAACACAUGCAAGUCGAACGAGUGGCGGACGGGUGAGUAAUGUCUGGGAAACUGCCUGAUGGAGGGGGAUAACUACUGGAAACGGUAGCUAAUACCGCAUACCAUCAGAUGUGCCCCGAUGGGAUUAGCUAGUUGGUGGGGUAAAGGCUCACCAAGGCGAUGAGCCCUAGCUGGUCUGAGAGGAUGACCAGCCACACUGGAACUGAGACACGGUCCAGACUCCUACGUGAGGCAGCAGUGGGUAAUAUUGCACAAUGGGCGCAAGCCUGAUGCAGCCAUGCCGCGUGUGUGAAGAAGGCCUUCGGGUUGUAAAGUACUUUCAGCGGGGAGGCGUUACCCGCAGAAGAAGCACCGGCUAACUCCGUGCCAGCCGCCGCGGUAAUUC